UUGCGCAUGGCUGGUGUGUUCAGUGGGGCCGUGAGCUUCUAGAGUUGUUGUUUUUUCGUUAAAGAUGCAAAGGAAGCCCUUUGGACGUCAUUCGCCUGGCUACGCAGCAAGGGAGUAGUGUGUGCAAAAUAUACUAUUUGCUCCGCUUGUACUAUUUUUUUUUUCCCUGAAUAAAUAAAGUGGCCCAAGAUUAUUAUUUUUCUUGCUGACUUUCUUUCCUGGUUUCGUAUAGGUUUUUGUUCGCAGGAAAACCAAGCUUUAUAGGAAAGGCUGUUUCCUCAGUAGUGCCGUAUAGGUAGAUUCUCACAACUUGCAGCAUUUUCCAGCCAUUUCUUUUGGUAUGAGAGAUCUUGCCUUUUUCAACACUAUACAAUAUUCUGCAAGUCAUUGCAAGUUUUAAGGAGGAUACAAACUCAUCUGGAAAAGGGAGCAAUGUAAUCCAUAAAUUUGCUGCUUGUGGAAUGUUAUCUAGAAUCAAUAUUUUCUCUUGUAUAAUUCUCACAUGUAAUUAGUGCCUUUUAUUGUUCAAUAUAUAUUUUUCUGAGGUAUCAGAUAUACUGAACUGAAUGUAUGUACCAUUUCUGUACCCUGUAAAAAGACUUAACCCCCUUUAAUAAAUGCUAUUUGCUUUGAA